AUUGAACGCUGGCGGAAUGCUUUACACAUGCAAGUCGAGCGGCAGCACGGGGGCAACCCUGGUGGCGAGCGGCGAACGGGUGAGUAAUACAUCGGAACAUGCCCAGUCGUGGGGGAUAACACUUCGAAAGAAGUGCUAAUACCGCAUACGUCCUGAGGGAGAAAGCGGGGGAUCUUCGGACCUCGCGCGAUUGGAGUGGCCGAUGUCAGAUUAGCUAGUUGGUGGGGUAAAGGCCUACCAAGGCAACGAUCUGUAGCUGGUCUGAGAGGAUGAGCAGCCACACUGGGACUGGGACACGGCCCAGACUCCUACGGGAGGCAGCAGUGGGGAAUUUUGGACAAUGGGGGCAACCCUGAUCCAGCCAUUCCGCGUGAGUGAAGAAGGCCUUCGGGUUGUAAAGCUCUUUCGGCAGGAACGAAACGGCGAGCUCUAACAUAGCUUGCUAAUGACGGUGCCUGAAGAAGAAGCACCGGCUAACUACGUGCCAGCAGCCGCCGCCGUAA
rnacentral:rRNA from 1 species